AACGGGGCGGUACCUCCUUUAACCCUUGAAGACCACCGCCCACGUCACGAGAGUUUCUCUCAAAAUAACUAAAGCCAACGUGAACAUUUGCGGACCCCGUGGUCCGCU
rnacentral:other from 2 species